UACGUAGGGCGCAAGCGUUGUCCGGAAUUAUUGGGCGUAAAGAGCUCGUAGGCGGCUUGUCACGUCGGGUGUGAAAGCUCGGGGCUUAACCCCGGGUCUGCAUUCGAUACGGGCUAGCUAGAGUGUGGUAGGGGAGAUCGGAAUUCCUGGUGUAGCGGUGAAAUGCGCAGAUAUCAGGAGGAACACCGGUGGCGAAGGCGGCUCACUGGCUCGUUUCUGACGCUCAGGCGCGACAGCGUGGGGAGCGAACAGG
rnacentral:rRNA from 1 species